rnacentral:rRNA from 1 species
UACGGGGGGGGCAAGCGUUGUUCGGAAUUACUGGGCGUAAAGGGCUCGUAGGCGGCCAACUAAGUCAGACGUGAAAUCCCUCGGCUUAACCGGGGAACUGCGUCUGAUACUGGAUGGCUUGAGUUUGGGAGAGGGAUGCGGAAUUCCAGGUGUAGCGGUGAAAUGCGUAGAUAUAUGGAGGAACACCGGUGGCGAAGGCGGCAUCCUGGACCAACACUGACGCUGAGGAGCGAAAGCCAGGGGAGCAAACGGG